AUUGAACGCUGGCGGCAGGCCUAACACAUGCAAGUCGAGCGGAUGAAGGGAGCUUGCUCCUGGAUUCAGCGGCGGACGGGUGAGUAAUGCCUAGGAAUCUGCCUGGUAGUGGGGGAUAACGUCCGGAAACGGGCGCUAAUACCGCAUACGUCCUGAGGGAGAAAGUGGGGGAUCUUCGGACCUCACGCUAUCAGAUGAGCCUAGGUCGGAUUAGCUAGUUGGUGGGGUAAAGGCCUACCAAGGCGACGAUCCGUAACUGGUCUGAGAGGAUGAUCAGUCACACUGGAACUGAGACACGGUCCAGGCUCCUACGGGAGGCAGCAGUGGGGAAUAUUGGACAGUGGGCGAGAGCCUGAUCCAGCCAUGCCGCGUGUGUGAAGAAGGUCUUCGGAUUGUAAAGCACUUUAAGUUGGGAGGAAGGGCAGUAAGUUAAUACCUUGCUGUUUUGACGUUACCAACAGAAUAAGCACCGGCUAACUUCGUG
rnacentral:rRNA from 1 species